rnacentral:lncRNA from 1 species
GGGAAUGUCUCAACAUCAAAGCCUUCCGUAAGUCACUUGUUUUUGCAAACACAUUCAUUUUCUCACCCUCUUUUUCUUUUUCAUCUUUUUCUUUUCUCAUUUUCUUUUCACUCUCUUUUAUUGUUUUUUUUCUUUUCUUUUACAUUUUCACUCUUUUCUUUUUCUCUCAUUUGAUCAAUAGAACUUUUCAACUUCUUUUGAUCCUCGUAGACUUGCUUCGGUGUUAACGGUGCUAGUGUCACAUUCUUUCCC